CCCACCCAGCAGCCACUGGACCCCCAGGGAGAAAGAGAACCCCCCCCCCAGCAUUCCCAAAGGUAAGGAGGCUGGGGGUUAAAUAGAAAAAAAUGUGUUAAUGAGAGUGAGUGUGUGUGUAUGUCUGUUAGUGUGUGUGUGUCUGUUAGUGUGUAUGUCUGUUAGUGUGAGUGUGUCUGUUAGUGUGUGUGAAUGUUAAUGUGUGUGUGUGUAUCUGUUAGUGUGUGUUUGUUAGUGUGUGUGUGUGUGUGUGUCUGACUGUGUGUGUGUGUCUGUUAGUGUGAGUGUGAGUGUGUUUGUGAGUGUGUGUGUCUGUUAGUGUGUGUGUGUGUCUGCUAGUGUGUGUCUGCUAGUGAGUGAGUGUGUGUCUGUUAGUGUGUGUGUGUGUCUGUCUGACUGUGUGUGUCUGUUAGUGUAUGUGUGUGUGUGUCUGACUCUGUGUGUCUGUUAGUGUGAGUGUGUUUGCCUGUGAGUUUUUGUGUCAGUGAGUGUGUGUGUCUGCAAGUGUGUGUCUGUUGGUGAGUGUGUGUUUGCCUGUGAGUGUGUGUGUGUCUGCUAGUGAGUGAGUGUGUGUCUGUUAGUGUGUGUGUCUGACUGUGUGUGUCUGUUAGUGUGUGUGUCUGACUGUGUGUCUGUUAGUGUGAGUGUGUUUGCCUGUGAGUGUGUGUGUCAGUGAGUGUGUGUGUCAGUGAGUGUGUGUUUGUCUGUUAGUGAGUGUGUCUGUUAGUGUGUGUGUUUCUGUUAGCUUGUGUGUGCUUCUGUUAGCUAGUGUAUGCGUAUCUGUCAGUGAAUGUGUGUUUAUUUAGAAGGUGGGGCGGGGG